rnacentral:lncRNA from 1 species
GACUAUGAUGUUGUAUGAUAGGAUGGUAUCCUCCUUUGAAUGUUUCAAGUGGCUUGACUUGGCGCAUGUUCACGCAUGUAGUUCAAAAAAUCAACAUAGCCUCUAUGAUGUUCAUGUUCAUGGUGAUCUAUGUCCUACUCAUGCUGGCACUCAAUGUUAGUUAAUCUCAAUGCAUUUUGAUGACUGUUGUCGCUCUCUAGUUGGUCGCUUCGUAGUCUUUUGCUAGCCUUCCCUUGUACUAAGCGGGAAUACUACUUGUGCAUCCACCUCCAUAAACCCAAAGUUGUGCCAUAGGAGUCCACCAUACCUAGCUAUGUCCGGUAUCUACCUACCGUUC